rnacentral:rRNA from 1 species
CGAGAAUCUUCCACAAUGGACGAAAGUCUGAUGGAGCGACGCCGCGUGAGUGAUGAAGGCCCUACGGGUUGUAAAACUCUGUCAGGAGAGAAGAAUCGCCGGGGUGCCAAUACCACCCUGGUCUGACGUUAUCUCCAGAGGAAGCUCCGGCUAACUCCGUGCCAGCAGCCGCGGUAAUACGGGGGGAGCAAGCGUUGUCCGGAAUUAUUGGGCGUAAAGGGCGUGUAGGCGGCCUGGUCAGUCGAAUGUGAAAUCCCACGGCUCAACCGUGGAACUGCGUUCGAUACUGCCUGGCUUGAGUAUGUGAGAGGUGUGCGGAAUUCCUGGUGUAGCGGUGGAAUGCGUAGAUAUCAGGAAGAACACCGAUGGCGAAGGCAGCACACUGGCGCAAUACUGACGCUGAGGCGCGAAAGCGUGGGGAGCAAACA